rnacentral:rRNA from 1 species
AGACGGAGGGGGCUAGCGUUGUUCGGAAUUACUGGGCGUAAAGCGCGCGUAGGCGGUCCGUUUAGUUAGGCGUGAAAGCCCUGGGCUCAACCCGGGAACUGCGUUUAAAACUGGCGGACUAGAGUCCGGGAGAGGGUGGCGGAAUUCCCAGUGUAGAGGUGAAAUUCGUAGAUAUUGGGAAGAACACCAGUGGCGAAGGCGGCCACCUGGCCCGGUACUGACGCUGAGGUGCGAAAGCGUGGGGAGCAAACAGGAUUAGAUACCCCAGUAGUCC